rnacentral:lncRNA from 1 species
AGAAUCCUUCCAACAACCAAAUCUAUCAAAUAUGCUACAGUUCUUCAGAUAGCAUUCUAAAUACAAUUUGAGUACGUAUAUUGCAUAUGCGGUAUUACAAUCAGCCAAUUUAUCUAAUAUAUUCUGAGCCAACAUAUAUCACAGUUCAGCAUCACAAGUUUAUUUUUUAAAAAAAAAACUUAAGUACAUACCUGGAAUGUAUUUUACUACAUAAAAUGGCAAUCUACAAGUCUUAAGCACAAAUAUUAUCUUGUAGUUUUAAGAUGGCUUAGGACCAUUUUCAUUUGUACCAGAAUAAAUAAAGGCAAUUCCCUUGACAUUUGGAAUUAUUUGUGUCAUGAGUGAUUUUCAACCUCUACUGGUUAAUUUUAAACCUGAAUUUCAUACCUCAGAAACACUAUGAUAUCUCCAAAAUUAAACAGUACGAAAGCAGGGACUUAUAUUAAGCACACUUUGGGUCAGAUCUAAUAAUGUUUAAGGAUUGCAAUAUUGGUUUAACCAGCAUGAAAUAUAAAGUAUUCUGACUGACAGACAGAAGACAAUCACCCAGUCGCAUCAGUGAAUUUGUAUGCUCAGACUGCAAAAUGAUUUCCACAUUCCUUAACCAACCUGUUGGCUAUUUGGAGUGAGAAUUAAAUCAUACCGCCUUGGGAGCACUGAGCAGAAAUAAGCCAGAAAUUUGCUCUUGAUUAAUACGUUAGUGUCUAAGCAACUUUAAUUACCUACACAUUCCCCUCUUGGCAAGUUCUCAGGUGGACACUAUCCAACUUUUAAAACUACAUAAAAGCUGUGGAGAUCUCUGCUUUGCUAGGGGUGUAUAUGAGGUCUGCCUGUAUUCAGCAGCUGUCUUUCGCAGAGAGGGUUCACUAGGCAAAACUUGUUUGCUAGUUUUUCGUCAGGAAUUGGUGCAUCUGUAAGUUGUUUAAUUUAACUGAAAUUUACCAUAGAUUGUUCUUAUCAUUUGGAAUGUGCGAGUUUCGCAUAAGCUUCUGUAAGUGGCUGUUCCCAACACUACUUACUGUCUCUGUGGAGCUUGUUAUACAGCCUAGAUACGCAUCAGGUUUCUGUAACAGGUGGGUGAACUGAUAUUUGGAUUUUUUUAAUUUCUUACAAAUAUGACUUUAUAGAACUGAAGAACAUGUUUAAUUACAUAAUUUUUCUUUUUCUGUAUUUGAUUAUGUCACUGCAAUUAAAAUAAAAGCACUUUGAUGC